GACGAACGCUGGCGGCGUGCUUAACACAUGCAAGUCGAACGGAAAGGCACUGCUUUUGUGGGGUGAUCGAGUGGCGAACGGGUGAGUAUCAAGUGAGUAACCUGCUCUUGUCUUUGGGAUAACUUCAGGAAACUGGGGCUACUCCCGUAUCGGAGCUCCUGUUCCAUGGUGGGGGUUGGAACGUUUCGGCGGUCGGGGAUGGAUUCGCGGAUUAUCAGCUUGUUGGUUGGGUAGUGGCUUACCCAGGCUUUGACGGGUAGCCGGCCUGGGAAGGUGACCGGCCACAUUGGGACUGAGAUACGGCCCAGACUCCAACGGGAGGCAGCAGUGGGGAAUAUUGCACAAUGGGCGGAAGCCUGAUGCAGCAACGCCGCGUGCGGGAUGACGGCCUUCUGGUUGAAAACCGCUGUCGCCUGUGACGAAGCGGGAGUGACGGUAAUGAGUAAAGAAGCACCGGCUAACUACGUG
rnacentral:rRNA from 1 species